rnacentral:lncRNA from 1 species
AAUAAUGGUUUGGGUUAGUUUUAAUUAUUUCCUGAACAAACCCCUUAGUAAACCAAUUAUUUUACCUAACUAUAUAAUUGUCUUAUCAAUACUAUUAAAAGGGGAGGAGUCUUAGAAAAUCUACCUAACAAAGUUGUUUGGACCCUUUUAUUUAACUCAUUAUUUUUUGAUCUUACCUUAAACUUAGACUAACAAUAUGUUACCAUAUAUUUCUCUAACAAUACUUUAUUUAAUUCCUUUAUUUAUUCAAAUACCACUCCUAAUUCUUAAUCAUCACUAAUUUACUAUUAUUAUGUUUACCAUUUUGACUUUUAAUCAUAAAAGCAUUGAAACUAAUGUUUUAUAUUAUCAUUUUUAUCAUAUAAUAUAUAAUUUAAAAUAAGAGAAGUUACACGACAUAUAUGUGUACAUUUUAACUUCCUCUUUUCUUUAUAAUAACGUAAUCAUAUCAUAUAUAAAUUUUCCCAUUAAAAUCUCAUAUUAUAUACUAAAUUUUCAACCGUCUAUAGUUUGAUAGAUAUUUUCAUAUUUAAAAAUGAGUUUUCUAAAAAAUAUUUCAUCAACCAUGUUUUUGUACAAUAACGUUAAAAAACUAUAUCAAAAGGUUGUUGGACCCGAUAUGGACGUAAUGGAUCCACAUCUGUUCGGGUAUUUAGGAUCCUAAAAAGAUUCGAAAUAUCUAAAAAAUCUGAAAAAUAUCCAAAACACGGAAAGUACUUGAAACUCCAAAAAAAAAAACCCAAAAAAUUCAAAUACCUAAAAAUUCAAAAUCUUAUUCAAAAUCUGACACUGAAUUAAAAAUACCCAAAAUUUUAUCCAAAUACACAAAAAAAAAUUUAAUUUGAAAAUUUUACCUGAAAUCAAAAACUAUAAUCGUAAACCAAAAACCUAAAAAAAAUAUUCAUAAUGCCGGAAACAUAUUCAAAAUAUACCAAAUAAACACAACAUAUUUAUGAUCGGGUCUAGGGUAGGAUCCAGACUCAAACAAAGAUAUGCGGGUCCAAAAAAACCCCAAUAGGUUAUCUUCUCUGGACCUGAACUAAACCUAUAUUUCCGUGUCAGUUCGGUUUGUUUUUUUGAUCCGGAUAUAAUUAUCAUGCCUAAAAAAACUUACGUAAAAGUGAACAUAUAAAAUAUCAAAUAAACUAAUUCAUAGAUUAUAUAACUGUUAAAAAUUAUAUUUUUUGAUAUAAUAAGACUUUGUAUUAUAAUAUAAUCCAAAAAACCUGCGCUUUCCAAGCGCGGAUCAAAAUCUAGUUCUUCUUAAACGUGAGCCGCCAGCACUCUUCUCCACAUCACCUUGUUCUUCUUCAUCAUAGUUCAUGAUCUCCAUGUUCUCUUCUCUCCAUUUGGUUCAUCCCGUUUCUCAUCUCCCUCCCCAUCUCUCUUGCUCAUCACUUGUGCCAUUCUCUUCUUCUCCCCCAUGUUCUUCAUGUGUUCGUGUGUUUGAUGACCGACAAGACGUGACGCAUCCACCAUCGCUAGUCACCACCGGAGCCAUGCCCUUCACCAUCAACCACCGCGAGCCAUGCCACUGGAGCCAGCGCCUUUACCGGAGGAGUGGCUAGUGUACUAGAGAUAUGUUGUCACCGUGGAGAAGGGGUGUACGAGCUGGAGCGUUCGCAUCUUGACGCCACCGGCACGCAUCAACACGACCAAUGUGACACCCCGACCCAGCAUAGCUGAAAUAGUCGGUGAUAUCAUGACACAUGUCUCCAGCCACAAGGCCGAAACAAUGUGUUUU